UACGAGGGGUGCAAACGUUUAUUCGGAUUUAUUGGGUGUAAAGGGUGUGUAGACGGUUUAUUAAGUUCGUUGUUAAAUCUUUCGGCUCAACCGGAAGCUUGCGGUGAAAACUGAUAGACUAGAGGAUGAAAGAGAGGAGUGGAAUUCUCGGAGUAGCGGUAAAAUGCGUAGAUCUCGAGAGGAACACCGAUGGCGAAAGCAGCUCCUUGGUUCAUUCCUGACGUUGAAACACGAAAGCGUGGGGAGCAAACAGG
rnacentral:rRNA from 1 species